rnacentral:rRNA from 1 species
ACGAACGCUGGCGGCGUAGCUUAACACGAUGCAAGUCGAGCGAUGAAGCUCUUCGGGAGUGGAUUAGCGGCGACGGGUGAGUAACACGUGGGUAACCUGCCUCAUAGAGGGGAAUAGCCUUUCGAAAGGAAGAUUAAUACCGCAUAAGAUUGUAGUACCGCAUGGUACAGCAAUUAAAGGAGUAAUCCGCUAUGAGAUGGACCCGCGUCGCAUUAGCUAGUUGGUGAGGUAACGGCUCACCAAGGCGACGAUGCGUAGCCGACCUGAGAGGGUGAUCGGCCACAUUGGGACUGAGACACGGCCCAGACUCCUACGGGAGGCAGCAGUGGGGAAUAUUGCACAAUGGGGGAAACCCUGAUUGCAGCAACGCCGCGUGAGUGAUGACGGCCUUCGGGUUGUAAAACUCUGUCUUUGGGGACGAUAAUGACGGUACCCAAGGAGGAAGCCACGGCUAACUACGUGCCAGCCGCAGC